rnacentral:lncRNA from 1 species
UGCCGAAGAGGCUACCAUCGAAUGGUCAGCGAGUCCUCCCGAACCUCCUAACUCCGAGGUGGCAUUUGUUGUGCCUGUCAGAAUAUGGAUGAGCUACGGAAGUUCUUUAUGAAUGUUUUAAACUUCGAUCCCAUGAGCUGGCGUUUGUUAACCUGAUCCCUAGGCAAUGGACCCAGUACGACUACCCCCCAGACAGCAAGAGGUAUAGGAGAUAAAAUAGAAAUAUAGUCUUUUGGUGGCUGAUGUGGGAUCGAACCAUUUGGCUGACAAAUAUCCAC